CUCAAAAGCUGAAUCCUUUCCGCAGAGGACAUCAUUGAGGAUCACUUGGGCCAGAGAAGCGUCACCGCAGCGGGCGAUCCAGGCCCAAGCCCCUCACCCACCCGGGAAGAGCCCGGCGGUGUAAACAGGCCUAGGGGUCCCCACUGGGAUUGGAGAGCCAAGCAUCAGCGGGGCGUGUCCCCCGCCGUCCACACUGGCUUAGCCGGAGGAUGCAAACGCGCCUGGGAGUUUUCACUUCAAUGGAGGCAAACGGCGAUACGUGUGUCAGUGUGUGUGCGAUAUACAUAUCACGGGCAAGUGUCUGACCUGAAAGUGUCCGCGACCAACUUGAAUUAAAUCCCUGGGGGUUGUUUGCAGAGACCCGGAGGAGGAAGUUGCCAAGGCCGACUUGGUGACCUGACUUGGUAGGGCCAAAGUUAGAAAAAACCAAACCCCUGUAGGACGCUGAGGCGGUCCAGGUCCAGGCUGCGGAGUGCCCACGCCCACAUCUGCCCCCACCUGGGGGGCAGGGAGCGGGGCCCAAGUGUCCCGGGAAAAGGCGGGAGCAGGGGCGCAGGCUGAGAUACGCGGGUUUCGGGCCGGCAGCUCGGCGCGCGUGGCGGUGGUACGCGCCUCCGCCCUGCGCGGUCCCCGGGCAGCCCUAGCUGGGUCCUGAGCGUCCGGAGCGUGUUCCGGGAAGGUGACUCAGCGACGCGCUCAAGGGUCGAGAAACCCCGCGAAACUAGGGACAAGAGGAGGGAGCUGGGGUGUCGUCACCCUCUCGCAGCGCUGCGUGUCCGCCGAGGUCUGGUCUUGAACCUCCGGGUCCCCCACCCCCUAGGAACCCGGCGCGGGGAGCGGAGGGCUGUGUUCAGCCGCAGUGCUGUGGUCACGCGACGCGGGGACGCGAGCGGCGGCGGGAGACAGAGGCUCGGUGCGGCAGCCGGGCUCCAGAUCCCACCCCUCCUCUCUUUCCCUAUCCUCCAGCGAGAAGUCUGGGCUUUGGCUCCUAGAAGACGGGGGACGUGGAGCAGUGCUCUCCGAAAUCUCAGGUUUGGGGGGAGGUGGCUGCGGAGACGGCCAAGGCAGCUUCCUCCUUCUUCUCCCCCGCUCAGGAGGGACCCUUCCAUCAGGCCUGAAAAGCUGCCGUCUUAAACCUUGGAGUCUGAUGGGAAACUGAGGCACAGGGAAGGGAACGCCUGGCUGUGCAUGAGUCCGUGAAACUCACCCAUCAGCAUCCCUAGCCCAAGAGACAGAAUUGGGCAAGAGCAAGAUGCUCUUCCUCUUUCAACGAUUGGGGAAACUGAAACCCUGAGAGGUGAAAGGUUUUCCCCAAGCUGCCAAACCAGUUCCCAACAGAGAAGCAACUCCAGGGGUCCUGACCCCCAGCCUGGAAGGAAGGCUGAGCCUACCCCCGGCUGACGGCUGCUGUUGGCCUGAUGGGUUGCUUGCCACAGAGCGACCCCAGUAACCCAACGUCUCAGAAAAAGUCUCCCCGAGAAAGAGGAAGCAUCUUGAAGCCUUCUCCAGGCUUUGUCCCCCAAGUCCUGAUUAAGCAACUAGCUGCUGUGCCCAGAGAGGCCUACUGUGGGCCUGGGAUCAGGCUUGACCUGACGGGGUGGCCAACCCAGAGCAGAGAAUGAAAGCAUGCAUUCACCGGGCCUGGCCCCAGCUCUCUGGAAACUUGGAGCCAAGGCCACCAGACGGCAAAUGACUUGUUUUUAUUGGGAGACGAUGCCUGCCAUCUCAUCCGUCCCUGAAGCUACCUUCCUGGGAGGUUUCGGCUCCGAAGGUGAAUUGCAGGGCCUCAAGCCCUCCCUUGGCCCCAAGUCUUUUCUGCCUAGGAGACCACAAGGACAGGGGAAGGGAGUGUCCGGCCCUGCAAACUCUUUUUAAGACCUGUGUUGUGGGACAGACCGAAUGUGGCUUUCCAUUCUGCGAGUUUCCUCGAUGCUGGUGACCAUGCCAGACACUGGGGGUGGUGCGGCGUGUCAUACGUGGAGUUCCAGGAAAGCAGACGGUCAAGCAGGUGUCUUGGUCACCUCUCGGGGGGGUUCUGAGUUUCUGUUUCUGCAGUGGUUCAGCUACUCAGGGUGAGUGCUAGGGUGAGCUUCGCUCUACGCCUUGCAUGUCUCCUUGUCCUUGUGAGUGUCCUUGGGGAGGCCGGGAAUCCAGAUUUCUUCUGAGCCUCUGGGUUCUGCCUCCCACACGCCUCACUGGCAGGCCUGCUGGUCUUGGCUACCAUCCAGGGGAACCAGCUUCCACAGCUGUCUCGAUGUGGAAGCCUGCAGGCCACACCCGCUCCACUCCUCUCAGCUGCCUGCCCGCCGCCUGAACGCAUUUGUGUUAGUUUCCUGGGAUCAUAAUGACAAAGUACCACAAACUGGGUCUCUGAACAGAAAUUUACUGUCUCACUGUCCUACAGGCCAGAAGGCCAAGAGCAAGAUGUCAGCAGGGUCAGUUCCUUCCGAGGGCUGUGAGGGAGAACCUGUCCCAGGCCUCUCUUCGAGCUUCUGGUGGUUUGCUGGCCAGCUUUGGCGUGCCGUGGCUUGUACACACAUCACGCCAAUCUCCGCCUUCGCCUUCGCGCGGCCUUCUCCCUGUGAAACAUCUGGCUGACAUUUGUUGUGUUAGGGUCUGAAUUAUCUUCCGUGGGCGUGUUCUUUUUCAAAAGCAAAUUACUCUGGGAGGGAAAACCAACAAGUUAUUGGACUCUAGUGUGAAUUACUGUAUCACAUAUUUAAUUUUAAAAAUAUAACCAUACAGUAUCAGGUGGCUUGAAAGAGGAAAAUAGUGCAUGCUCCCGUGGAUGUCGGAGAGGGCUUCUGGAAUCUGGACCUCCCCACCUCCCAGUGUCAUCAGGGAGCGAUGGGUUGGGAGGAGUUGUUUAUGUCUUUGCUGGCUGCCAGGCUUCCCUGCCCAGGCUUGCACACCGGCCUGGCUCCUUGACUUUCAGAUCUUACCUCACACCUUGAUUUAUGGCAUCUCUGGCUUCCUGAGCAGAUGGAUUUUUUCCCCAGUCCUUGGAAGAACAAAGCUGAGUUUUGUGUUGGUAUAUUAGGUUUCUAUUGCUGCACAAACUUGUUAUCUCGCAGUCCUGGAGGUCAGAUGUUUCAAAUGAGUCAGCGGGGCUGUGCUCCCUUGCCUGUCCUAGCUCCUGGAGGCCACCUGCAUUCCUUGGCUCUGGACCCCUUCCUUCACUUCCAAAGCCAGCAGCAUAGCAUCUUCAAAUCUCUAUCUGACUUUUGCUUCUGUUGUCACAUCUUCUCUGACUCUGACCUUCCUACCUCUCUCUUACAGGGACCCUGUGAUUACAUUGGGCCCACCUGGAAAACCCAGGAUACUCUCCCCAUCUCAAGAGCCUUAACUUAAUUGCACCUGCAAAAUCCCUUCUGUCAUAUAAAGUGACAUAUUCACAGGC